GGGACAGUAGGGUAAAUGGUUGUAGCUGUUUUUUUUUUAAACUAGAUAGUAAAGAGAAGCAAGGAAUGGCAAUAUCAAAGAACAAGCUGAGUGUCUUUGUCAUCCUGAUGGCCUGCUAUAUUUUGGAAACACAGGAAUUAAUUGACAUUUCAAGCCUAAUUUCACAGGUAUUCAACACAAAGGAGAACCCGCAUUAUUUGAGAGGAAAAAGAGCAGUACCAGUCAAUCAUUGGACCUACAUUAUUGACAUCGAAGUCAAUGUGUCAGCUAUUGAAACUAUACAACAAAUUAAGACAGCUGUAAAUUCAACAAGUCUUCCGUACGUUAUCAACAACACCACUAAAAUCUCUGAAAUUGACAUCACCACAGUUUGCUCCCUUAAUGGAACUGGAUUCCAGUGCAGAUGUGAGAACCAGUAUCAAUGGUCAUGUGACCAGUGUCUCUCUUAUGGAAGAUGUGAUGACACUACAUCUGACACAUGUGGAUGUAUCAAUGCUAUUCCUUCAGAUGGAAUAUACUGCCAGUCGUUUUUCCAGAAAAACUUUACAGCAUGUCCAACCACUACAGCCUCUCCAACAACAGACCUUACAACAUCUGCCACAACAGAACAGAAUAAUAUUGCUUUCCCAACAAGCCAAGUGAUCACUGUUACCGAUUCAACAGUACCACCAACUCUUUACAUGUACAUGAUUGAAAUUGAGCUGAAUAUCACAGAUGUUGCAGCAAUAAAUACACUGAGAACCAGUUUGGGAAAUGCAAGUUACCCUGUUACAAUGAAUAGCC
ensembl:lncRNA